rnacentral:rRNA from 1 species
AUAGAAGGCCAGCCUGCCCGGUGACAAAGUUUAACGGCCUCGGUACCCUAACCGAGCGAAGGUAGCAUAAUCACUUGUUCUUUAAAUAGGGACCUGUAUCAACGGCAUCACGAGGGUUGAACUGUCUCCCCUUUUUAAUCAGUGAAUCUGACCUCUUCGUGAAGAAGCGAAGAUAUAAAUAUAAGACGAGAAGACCCCAUGGAGCUUCAAACAAAGUAACACCCUCUUCUACCCCCACCAUAAUAAACAAGAGCCCUGUUAACUAGCUUUUGGAUGGGGCAUCCAAGGAGUAUAAUCUAACCUCCCUGACAACUUAUCUCAGAGCUACUACUCUAAGAAACAGCAAACUGACGUAAUAGACCCGAUUAUCGAUCAACGAACCAAGUUACCCUGGGGAUAACAGCGCAAUCCAUUUCAAGAGUCCUUAUCGACAAAUGGGUUUACGACCUCGAUGUUGGAUCAGGGUACCCCAGUGGUGCAGCCGCUACUAAAGGUUCGUUUGUUCAACGAUUA